rnacentral:rRNA from 1 species
AACGAACGCUGGCGGCAUGCCUAACACAUGCAAGUCGAACGGGACCUUCGUGUCUAGUGGCGCACGGGUGCGUAACGCGUGGGAACCUGCCCUUAGGUUCGGAAUAACUCCCCGAAAGGGGUGCUAAUACCGGAUAAUGUCUUCGGACCAAAGAUUUAUCGCCUUUGGAUGGGGCCGCGUUGGAUUAGCUAGUUGGUAGGGUAAAAGCCUACCAAGGCGACGAUCCAUAGCUGGUCUGAGAGGAUGAUCAGCCACACUGGGACUGAGACACGGCCCAGACUCCUACGGGAAGCAGCAGUGGGGAAUAUUGGACAAUGGGCGAAAGCCUGAUACAGCAAUGCCGCGUGAGUGAUGAAGGCCUUAGGGUUGUAAAGCUCUUUUACCCGGGAUGAUAAUGACAGUACCGGGAGAAUAAGCUCCGGCUAACUCCGUG